CCUACGUGGGGCAGCAGUGGGGGAUAUUGGACAAUGGGGGAAACCCUGAUCCAGCGACGCCGCGUGAGUGAAGAAGUAUUUCGGUAUGUAAAGCUCUAUCAGCAGGGAAGAAAGAAAUGACGGUACCUGAGUAAGAAGCCCCGGCUAACUACGUGCCAGCAGCCGCGGUAAUACGUAGGGGGCAAGCGUUAUCCGGAAUUACUGGGUGUAAAGGGAGCGUAGACGGUAAUGCAAGUCUGGAGUGAAAGGCGGGGGCCCACCCCCCGGACUGCUCUGGAAACUGUGUAACUGGAGUGCAGGAGAGGCAGGCGGAAUUCCUAGGGUAGCGGUGAAAUGCGUAGAUAUUAGGAGGAACACCAGUGGCGAAGGCGGCCUGCUGGACUGUAACUGACGUUGAGGCUCGAAAGCGUGGGGAGCAAACAGGAUUAGAUACCCGGGUAGUC
rnacentral:rRNA from 1 species